rnacentral:lncRNA from 1 species
CAUUGCAUCUUAAGAGAACAUUUACGUUUAAGAUGUUUGAUAUCAAAAUAAAACGUCUGAACUAAUCGUAAAUUACAUUCAUCUGAGCGUUAAUGUACAUUUUGUUUGUUGACAAAGUGAUAUAACGCUUUACUUGUGAAGUUGCUCAAUCAUAUUUCUUCAUGUUUUUGAAAUCAGCUGUAUAGUCACGGACCAUUCACCUCCUUUUACUCGACAAAGAGUUGUUCUCAGAUGUUAUUAUUGCCUUCUUGUCCUACAUAUUCAAAUUGAUAUUUUAAGCUGUUGAUGUUGUUUGCUUAACAUUAUGCUUUAAAAAACUUUAGAUUAAGAUCUUUCAGCAAGCAUUUAGAAGAUAUAUGGUAAAGAAAUCUUCGAGCAAAGUUCCUCAGUAGAGUACGGAACUUUGUAUUUCUAAAAUACAUUUUCGUUGACCAACUUCGAAGGUCAAUAAAUACCAAGUGAACGAUACAGGCUCAUUGGACCUCUUGCAUAUACAAGUACUGAAAUGAAAGUUAUUUUCGUGCUGAUCUUUGAAUAUAGCAUGGACAAAUGCGAUGUUCAAACUUUUAUUUACAACAAGGAUAACACAACAGACAAGUCCAUGAUAUUAUUAUUAUACAUUAACCUAAACAAGGCGAACAUCAACUGCAAAGACUUAGUGCAUUCAUUGUGAAAAUUCGAGUUAAACAAUCUUAGUGCAGCACAAAGUUUGUGAUUGUGAUAUUUUGUUAUAGAUUAAUUCGAUAGCUGAGUUGAGUGGCAAUUCAAUAAGAACAAUAUUGGCAAAUAUCAGGUCAAAUUUAAGAAAAAUAUACAAAAUUAUACAUUUUUUAUGCAUCCAGGAUAAUUAUAAACAUAAAACUGUUACAAAUAUAAUUUAGUAUUAAGAAUAGUUUCAGAUAUACACACACGCAGAUAUAUAUGUACAGACUGCAUUAAUGUCAAGAUAAAGAGGCGAAUUUGUUGUUAACAUUAAAUAUGUGUUAUGUCUUACUAUGACUUUUAGGAUUUAUUAACAAUUUAUGAUUUAUGAUCCUUUUGAUAUUGAUAUCAAUGAGAGAUAGUUACAGGCACUCUUAAUAUUUAACAAAUACACUCCGUUACUAACGUGUGGUGCCAGGCGGUGUACUUGAUCUACUACACGUUUUACUAAUAUAUGGGGAAAUACAAAGUUACUUACAUUGUAUUAUACUAUAUUGUCUUGCUGGUACACUUGCAAGUGUUCAUUGUUUUUAAUUUAAUUAUUUUAAAUGUCAUUUUAUAACUUAUUGGUUACAAGUGUAUAUACAUGUAGCACUAGUAUAUAUUAUGUCUAACAUUUGAACGAAGUUCAAUAUUGAACAGAAAGGUAACAGUGUUUCUUAUAUUUAAGGAGGAGGAGAAGGAGGUUAUUUUGUUCUCGAUUGUAUCUAGGUUGACAAAAAAAGUCACCCAUUGACAUAUGUACCCAUGAUGUUUAGAUAAAGACAGGGGUGACGUUGAUGAAGCAGAACACACUUCCCUUUCUAAAACACUCCAGCCCGUGCUCGAACAAUCACUAAACCACUCAAUGGCUGCAAACGUCUUGUGAUGUAGAGUCAAUUAUACAUCCCAAACGAUACCCCCGACAUUGCCUUUACUGACUGAACUGUAUUAAUUACAUAUCUGAGAGGUGUUUGGCUUGAUGAAGCUACAUAUUAUGGGUUUAAAUUAAGUAUGAAACAGGUAAUAUAUAAUAUGUCACACUUGCCUUUACUAGUACUUUUCAGUUAUGGAAUGUUUUGAACGCAAUUUUGCCAAACAGUAGAUACUUUUCUUUCACUGAGAUGAAUCAAUGCAAUAAAUCUCAAUGAGGAAAUGUCAAAUUGUUUUUCUGUCCUAUCAUACAUUGUUGUAGCUAUUCCCCAUCCUAACUGUCUAUACAUCAUGCAUCUCCAUCCUUAUGCCUCUGGUGGCACACCUUAUUAAGUUAUUUCAGAAGGCAGGCGCCUUAGUGACCUUUAGCCACUUGUUACAUUGUACUUGUUUUGUAGACUGUUGUACUAUGGAUUGUUUUCUAUAUAUUUUGCCGGCGGAAGUAUUUAUAACCAUGUGACAUUACGCCGUUGAUGGACAGAAGGACGCAUUUACGUCAAUCCUUAAUUGGUUUUACCUACAAGAUCCGGGUUUAACACUAAUGUCGGUUAACUGUAUAACAUUAAGCGGCGAAAUCUAUAACACCUGCAAUACACAUGUAGCUUUACCACUGAAAUUUAUAUUGCUGUCACUUUCCCUGAACUAGGGACUGGCGGUAAUGAUAAUAUAGUAAUACGGUAACGUCAUAAUUUAUAAAUCAAAAGAUUUUAUGUGAGUGUAAUGUAGGUAACUGUAUGUGUAUGGGCAUGGUUUGUAUUGAUUGAUGAUACUACCGUAAAUUGUAUUAACAUAUUGACAGUACGUUGUGUUGGUUUUGAAGUACACUUAUUGAGAUAAGAUAUUUUAUUCACAUGUUGUAAAUAUUAUUGUUUCGGGAGAAGGGACAAGUCGAUUCAAGUAAAUGCGGGCGCCCCUUGUUUAAGACCAAAAUGUGCUUUCGUGCUGAUUCACAUUACCGCAAAAAGUAGCACUGCCUCAAAUACAAUUAGUUAUAGGCCAUUUAUCAAUAUACUGCAUCAGCAUCUAAAGGAAUGGCUCGCAAUAAAGUUAGGUAAGUGUACUCCAUCGCCUUUAUACCGACCCAAAACUGAUCUUCAGUGUCACAAGUAAGGGUUAACGUGAAAAUCAUUACCAACUAUCGUGUAUAACAGAUAACAGACACAUGUUGAACUGGCUACCAGACAGGUGAUCAGAUCUGCAUUAGAUAAGUUAGGUUCGCUAGCUCAUAACAACGUAUGACAACCACUUUAAACAAAAAUAUAUCCCUACUGACCUUAGGUAAGACAACGUUAUCGAAAAGAAACUAAAGGAUCCAGAUAAGAAAAUAGAAAAGACGCAACGAAAAAAUCCUUGUCACUACCAAAUCUUCAAAACACAUCCAGGCGGUGUUUGCUAAGUCAGUGAGUAUUACAUAACAAUCUAUUGUACACAUUACAGUUAGGUAGCAUGGGCGCAUUUAGUAAAACCACGUUAAUAAAUUUCGGGCUAGUCUAUAUAUUAUCAGAUUGGUCUAUAUAUUUCCAGCCCAGCCUGAAUCAUACUUGCAUAUAAUUGGACUAGAAUCGCAAUACAGAAAAUCAUAGCAGCCGAGUUAUUAAGCUUAGAAUGGCAUUUUAAAAAUGUUUUAAUUAUUCGUCUAUCUAAUAGGCUUACAUUUAGGUUGGUGAAAUCGUACGAUACUCACGAUGACCUGAUUUGCAACUGCAAAUACCAGAUUCAGUGUUUGUUGUGCCUAGAAAUUGCCGGUUAUCCACAUGCUUUCCUGGAUAUAACCAAAGAUAUUUGUAUGUCUACUCCACAUAACGACACUAUGACACAAACUAUGAAAAUGAUGUUUACUGUCAAUUUACAUCCUUAGGUGGGGAUUCGACAGAAUUACGCCACACCAGUACAUAUAUAUAUAGAUCACAAAACUAACAAUAUUAAAAGGGUAGCAUGUAAGGGUGUUUUUUUCAAUAAGGCAAUUUUGUGAUAAAUUUCUAAAAAGAUGCUGCUAUAAAAUGGCGCCGUUGAAAUUUUUCUUAAAGAUGAAGAAAGAGGCAUACAGCCAAUCAGAUUGUAGCGUGGGAUUUUAGCUAAUCAAAUACCUCAAAACAACGGAGGCACCAAGAAGGGUGGAGAGGCACCCUAAGGGGGCUAUGUUCGUAGCUAUGUAUAUACAUUAUAUGUAACAUAUGGUCGAAUGUUACGUCUAGAGCAUGAACGCUUACCUUUCUGGAGUAUAUGUAAAGGGUUUCUGCUCUAGCACUUGCUUUCCCCAUUCAUAUUAAUGCGUUAUUUUAUCACCGUUG